rnacentral:rRNA from 1 species
CGUGUAGGCGGCUUGGUAAGUCUGGUGUGAAAUCUUGGGGCUCAACCCCAAGCCUGCACUGGAUACUGCCUCGCUAGAGUCCGGGAGAGGAGAGUGGAAUUCCCAGUGUAGCGGUGAAAUGCGCAGAUAUUGGGAAGAACACCGGUGGCGAAGGCGGCUCUCUGGAACGGAACUGACGCUAAGACGCGAAAGCGUGGGGAGCGAACAGGAUUAGAUACCCUGGUAGUCC